GUUUCUGCCAGACAACACCGCUCUGAAACAAGAAGACACAUCAGGUCAGAGGGACUCGGUCAACGAGUCAGACACUCAAUCAACAAGUCAGAGACACUAAACCAUCAGGUCAGAGGGACUCGGUCAACGAGUCAGAGACACUAAACCAUCAGGUCAGAGGGACUCGGUCAACGAGUCACAGACACUCAAUCAACAAGUCAGAGACAUUAAACCAUCAGGUCAGAGGGACUCGGUCAAAGAGUCACAGACAUUAAACCAUCAGGUCAGAGGGACUCGGUCAAAGAGUCACAGACAUUAAACCAUCAGGUCAGAGGGACUCGGUCAUCAGGUCAGAGACACGUGGUCAACAGGUCAGAGGGACGCGGUCAACAGGUCAGAGACACUCAGUUAUCAGGUCAGAGGGACUUGUUCAUCAUGUCAGAGAUAAUAAACCAUCAGGUCAAACAUAAUGAAUCAUCAGGUCAGAGGGACUCGGUCAACGGUCAGAGACACUAAACUAUCAGGUCAGAGGGACUCGGUCAAUGAGUCAGAGACACUAAACCAACAGGUCAGACAUUAUAAAUCAUCAGGUCAGAGGGACUUGGUCAUCAGGUCAGAGAUGAUAAACCAUCAGGUCAGACAUAAUAAAUCAUCAGGUCAGAGACACUCAGUUAUCAGGUCAGAGGGACGUGGUCAACAGGUCAGAGACACUCAGUUAUCAGGUCAGAGGGACGUGGUCAACAGGUCAGAGACACUAAAUCAUCUGGUCAGAGGGACUCGGUCAUCAGGUCAGACAGCUCACUGUUUUUCUCCAUUUUAACGAUAAUAUUUUAGAACCCAGUCAGAGUCCAGAAACAUUAAAUCUAAAGGAAACACUUGAACAAGUCCCAGGAUUAAAGAAUAAAACAGAACCUUUAUUGUAUCCAGGAUUAAAGAAUAGAACAGAACCUUUAUUGUACCCAGGAUUAAAGAAUAGAACAGAACCUUUAUUGUACCCAGGAUUAAAGAAUAAAACAGAACCUUUAUUGUAUCCAGGAUUAAAGAAUAGAACAGAACCUUUAUUGUACCCAGGAUUAAAGAAUGGAACAGAACCUUUAUUGUACCCAGGAUUAAAG